ACACCUCCACCUGGUUAGGGUAACUGCCUGCCACCAAGGGGUCGCCUCUUUUAAAAAAAAAUUCCCAAUAGAACACCUUCCCCCAAUUGCCUUCCCCCCAAAAACAAAGGUUCCCUUCACCUCACCUCAAUUGGCCUCUUUCCCCCGCCACUGCUAAAGGUCUUCCCCCCAAUUAGCACUUUUCAAAAAGAGUAUUUCCCUCCCUCCCCACAAAUUGGCUUUUCUGCCCCUAAAAAAACUUUUUGCCCCUUUCUAGCCUUCCUCCUAAAGUCUCCCACCAAGGUUUUAAUAUAUCUCAGCAAUGCAAAGGCCGUGUUCAAGCCAGGCCUCGCAGCAGGUUGCUAGGCAGAGGUGGGGGAGACUGGGGCCAGGUGCAGGUGGCUGUGCUUGUGGCUGUGGGGCCCAGAGGACAAGGAAGACAGCAAGACCCUGAAGAUACUCCAGUCCUCCCUAUCCAUGAAUUUUUUGGCCCAGCUGAGUCAUUGGUGCGCAGACUGGACUACGUCCCCCAGCCUGCUGCCGGUGCCGGUGCCGGCUGAGGCCAAGGCACUAGGAGACCUGUGGUGGCGGGUCCCUCGGCGGCAGUGCAAGGUGCUGGUGCACCACCAGUGGUGGUGGUGGAGACUGGUGGUGCAGGGGAACAGGCAGAGGGCAGGGAGGAAAUGAUGGCUGCAGGCAGUGCAACCAGAUUCUCCCUCCCUCUUGGGGCCUUUCUCCCUAUUAUUUCACUGCUCAGUCGAGCUCCCCCCCCCCGAUGAAGCCCAGGUAGUUGUGGUGGGGUCCAGUGAUGGGUCCUCCCACUCUGGCUCUGGCGAGGAAGGGUCUGCUGAUGUGGUGGUGGAGAAGAGGCCUCAGCCUGCCUCUCCUCCUCUGCCAGUGCAGCCGGGCUCUUCCUCCUGCACGCAGGGAAGAAAUGGGACAGUGGUGGGUAGGCAGCGGCAGCCGCCCUCCCAUAGGACCGCAGUCACCCAGGAAGAGGCAAAAGAAGGGGGCCUCUCAGGGCAGCAGUGUCUGGUGGCAUUUUGAGGUGCCUGAAAAUGCCCCGACCUAUGCCUGUUGUGUCCACUGCAGGGAACAGGUCAGCCAGGGCAAGGAAGUCAAACACUUAGGGAUGACACCCAUGUGGCAACAUAUGGAGCGUCAUCACCUAGCUCUCCUUGGCCCCGCUGGAAGUGCUUGUGCACCCCAUGUUCCUGCCAGUAGGGUGGACAAGGGCAGUGUGCCAGCCAAAAAGCAGGCUACACUGCCAGUCCAGCAGUGGACACAGGUGUCGGGUAGCAAGUGGACUGUUCAUGUGGACCAUCAUCAUCUCACUCGCCUCAUAGGGAGAUGAUUUCCACUGAUGACCAGGUGGUCGAGAACUCCAGUUUCCACUGGAUUCUCCAGUACCUUGUUCCUGACUACAAGAUCCCCUCAAGGACCAGCCGGAACAUAGUCCCCUCCCUUUACCACCGAUGCAGAGAGCUUGUGUCAGCCAGGCUGCAUGUGGCCCCAGCUGGCACCAGCGUGCAUUUCACGACUGACCUCUGGACCAGUGUCAGUGGAAUGCACGCUGCUUUCCUAGCCCUCACUGCCCACUGCUGGGGCCCAGAGAGAGGGGGGACCUUCAUGGGCACUGCCUCUGGAUCCAGAGCAUUUCCUGCUGCACUAGGGUACAGGUGGGCAGUUCUGCAUGUGGGGACCAUGGGCACAAGGCACACCAUGGAGGAGGUGGUGGCUGUACUUGGCCGCCAGAUAGAGGAGUGGAUUGGUGGGUGUCCACACCUUUUCUGGGGCUUCAUUGUCACAGACAAUGGCUCCAACAUUACCACCGCUGUCAAGAUAGUCAUGGGCUGUGUGAACAUACAGUGUAUGGCACACAUACUCCAUCUGGCUGUCUGGGAUGCCCUCGGCCAUUGGGAGCUGAAGGCAUCCAAGCAUCAGCCCUGCCCCGCCCCUGCCAAGUGCUGCUGUUGCCACGGCCACACUUGUCGAGAAGGCUCGCAAUCUGGCUGGCCAUUUGCACCGCAGCAAGAAGUCCAGGUGCCUGCUUCACGAGAAGCAGGCCGACCUCGGGAUUCCCCGCCAUCUCAUCCCAACAUCCGUAGAGACGCAGUGGAACUCCACCUUCCUCCUUUUCCAGCACCUGCUGGAGCAGGAGAGAGCCCUUGGCGCUUUGGCGAGGGAUGGGUCCUUGGCUGACUGCAACCUCUCAAAUGCAGAGUGGAAGCAGAUGUCUGAGGCAGUGUUGGCUCUCGAGCCCUUCCAGCUUGCCAUGAAGGGCUUGUGUGGCGACACCACUCCCUUGAGCCAGGCGCUGCCCACAGCUCUGGGUCUUGAGAAGCUGAUGGGCAAACUCCAGACUUCUCUGACCAUGCCAGAGUGUCGUGCUCUGGCUGGAAGGCUGAAAUCUGGGGUGGCCAAGUGGCUUGUUGGUGAGUUGGGUAGCAGGGAGGAGUAUGUCCUUGCUUGUCUCUGCGACCCAACCAUCAAGGGCAAUGUCAUAAGUGUCGAUGACUUGCCCGGGUGGAGAGACCUCGUGGUCCAGAAAGUUAGGAAGCAGGAGGUCAUUAGGACCAGAAGAGACCAGGAGGGUGGUGGUGGUGCGGGUGCGACUCCCUCCGAGCAACCCACAUCUAGCGGCAGUUUGGGCGGCCAGGCAGCAUUGGCUACCCCUUUCCCUUCCUCUUCCCAGUCCAGCACCGUGGCAUCCCAGGCAGCAGCGCCAAUGCAGCAGGCACUUCCUCCCACCGUGAAAUCCGCCCAGUGGUUUCAGCCGGUAUGUCUUGGCACCUUGCCUGGUGUGUGGGAGGCUUGACCUGCCAUGCCCUCCAGUGCUGAGCAAUGCGUUGCCCAGUACUUGGAAGAGCCUGUGGAGAAAGACACCUUGAUGGACCAUGUGCAGUUCUGGGUGACCCACUGCCAAGUCUGGCCGGACCUGGCAGUGGUUGCUGUGCACCUCCUGUCCUGCCCGCCAACCAGUGUCCAGAGCGAGUGGGUGUUUUCGCGUGCUGGGGACGUGGUAACACCUGCUCAGUCCUGGUUGGACACUGGUCUGGUGGAGCAGUUGGUUUUCCUGAAGGUCAUCCUCCCCUUGCUGGGCUACCCCAAGGUGCAGGUUGAGUUGGGUGAGUGAUUACUGUGGUUGCCCCAUGGUUGGUCACCUGCCUAGCUCAUCCUCUGCUCAUCUCUCCCCUCCCCUCCCCGCUUCCACCUCUAGAUGAGCUGACGUGACAGAUGACUGAGCCGUGCCAGCUAAGUCACAGCAUGCCCACUACUAGUGCUGCGACUGGCCCAAUGUUGAUACACCCCGCCCGCGCCCACUUAAGAAACCCAAUGCUGACCAUAAGCCCCUAUCUCUUCUCACUUGUCAGCAUUUGGGGGCCUGGCGUCACACACACACACAAGUAACACAGCCCCAUAAUAAUAUUAGACUAGCCGCAGUGGCGGCUGCCUACAUGUUUUGUAAAUAUGUAAAUAAUAAAUUUUAAAAUGUUAAUCAACCCUCUAAACAUAUCAAAAAUCAUAUUUGAAAAUGAUGACUCACAAAAGUAUUGAUUUUGAAAAAUAUGGAAACCAAGAAAUCAUGUGGAGUUGAUUUGAAUGUUUAAUAACUUUUAAAAGCUGUAUGAAUUCUCAUGGUGAUUAUGGUUUUAUUGUUGAUGUUGACUGAUGGAAACAAAUCUUAAGUAUAGAACUUGUCAACACAACAUAUUGAUUGAUUGUCUUAAAUGGGUUCUUUGGGGGAGGGGAGGGAAUUGGGUCUGUGUAAUUCAGUUUCACUGUGCUUGUACUUGUCUUGAGAGAAAGGUGUGUGUUUGUGUGUAGGUUGUUUCUGUUGUGUGUGCGUGUCUGUGUGGAUGGAUGCUAGCACUGUCUUUGUGGAUGGAUGCUUGCUGUAGUGUAGUGUCUGUCUGUGUCUGCAUUCCCCCCCUCCCUUCCCCUCUCAUCCCUCCCUCCCUUCCCUCAUCCAUCCCUCCAUCCUCUUCAUCACCAUUCCAUCCUCCCCUCCACACCCACCUGCCCCAACCUGGUCUGGCAAGAUGAUGAGAACUGGCCUCCCACCAAAGCACACAUCAUGUGUGUAUAUGUGUGGCAUCCGACCUACUCUGAGCUGGACCUCCUCUCCCUUCAAUCCCUUCUGAAACCCCCUCCCCUCCCCUCCUGCUUCCCCUCUCCUAGCUAGCUAGCAACGCACACACAACCCCACACAAACACAAACACGCAUGCACACUGGUGCCACCACCUGCCUGGGGCCUCUGUGUCCUAGAGCAAAUAUGUGGUGGACCAGACACAGAGGCAUUUCUUUCCCCAAGCAAGGCAAAAGGCAUGCACUGCACACCCAAAGAGAAGACACUAGACAAGCAGAAGAAAACUAGAAAGUAGAACUAGUGAACCAGCAGAUGCCAAAUCAUAUCAAAGGCUAAGGACGCUCAGGCAGUGGAAUAUCGUGACUACCAUCCAGAGUGUCAUCAGAUCAAGGGUUAGGCAAAUAUGGCUCUCCAGCUAUUGUUAAACUAAAACUUCCAUCAUUCCUUGGCAGUCAACUGGCAGACACUCUCCAAAGACUCAGGCAGAGAACUUCCUCAGACCUUUUGUUGGAAUUGGAUCUGAGUCAAUCAAAAGCACAAAAAGAACAUAGGGACACAGCUUUGGGUUUUAUUUUCCUGCACAGCAACAUCAGCUGUUGGACGUCAAAAAGGCUUUAGUCUAACCGCAUCAUAAACACCAUCGCUACUCUGAGAGAGCCUUAGCUCUCCUCAGUAGCAUGUUGAGUACCAUCUGACCUGAGGGGCCCAUCAUCCAGCACUACAUCGACAAUCACUCUAUUUUGUCUAUCCAUGUGGUUUUCUUGGUAAAAUACAGGAGUGAUUUACCAUUGCCUUCUCCCACGCAGUAUGAAAUGAUGCCUUUGUCAUUGUCACUGAAGUAAUCAUCUGCCUCCAUCACCUUCCUAUAUCGCUGCUGCCCAAUAUAGGUGCCUGCUUGCUUGGUGGAAUAAUUGAGGGAAAAUGCAAUCAAUUGAGUGUGGGAACAAGAGAGGACAACACAAAUGAACAAGUGAAUGCUUUCGCAAACCAUGCUGAACAUUGUUGAAAAGGACAGCCUUUUCUGAUACACCAUAAAAUGUUUCCAAAGUGUAAUGAGUAUUUCCAGCUCAGCCCUGCAUAUAUCAGCAUGAAACAGUAUCAAAUCUGACACUCCAUAUGACAAACAUUAUGCCAAAAUUAUGGAAAAUAUUAACAAAUUAAGAACUUGUUUACAAAACUUCUUGGAAUCUAAGCACAACAUUUGACUAGUUUCUCUGCAGCAGUUGGCUUUCUACCUGUUGCUUUAUUGAUCAGGAACUGCAUAAACUACAAAGUGUUCCAGAUUUUAUUUUCUGAGGAUGAUUUUUUUUAAAAAAAUAAAAAUAAAAAUGUUUAUUUCCAAGAUUCCUGGGAUGACUUGAUACAGUAUUUAACGAGCAGGCUGGAAAUGUUUUUAUGUAUCACCUCUAAGUAAGAUGUUGGUAAUUUAAAAGCCUUUCCCUGACUUCCUUUCUUUCACAGCCUCCUCUGACCAUAAGCCCCUGGCACUGGCAGAGGUUGACAAGAGGGUGAAGCAAGGGGGAAUAAAAGGAGGAAGAGACUACAGUUGGAAAAACACUAAUGAGGGGAAGCUUGCAGCUGCCUGAAUUGCUGGUAGCCAUGCAGAUGUUAGUGAUAGAUGCCUCAUGAAAGCCACAGAUAGUCAGAGGGUGCUUCUCAAAGUGUAGAGGAGCCUCCAGGGAAGGAAUGAAGCACACAGAGGGAUUGACCCCCCCCCCCCGCACCUUAUCUGAGAGGUAUACAUGCUGAGAAGGAGUCUACUGUAACUCCUAUCAUGUUUUCCCCACCCUUGCUUCUUACUGGUAGUUUAUUUAGCCUUAUGAGACUGGGAAAGCCAGUCGUGAAAUCCGUUGAGGGGAAAUAUGGUCUUUCCACAUUUCUUCGGAAAAUGCUUAUGGUCCAGGCCAAUGGUGGCCAGCCAUUUAACAAAUCUGUCACACAUCAGGCAUAAGUACUCUUUUGUGCAUUAGGAUAGCACAAUGCUGCCAGCUGCCUCAGGGUUUAUUCUGCUUCUGAUCUACUGUGCUAGUGUAGCCUGAUUUGGCAUCAAAGCCUCCUGUUCCUAUUUAAGAAUACCAGAGACCUGUGCCUCUUUUAGCAACCAUGCCUCUGGUUGGUCAGCAAUGGCCUGGAAUGUCUGUGUAAUGUCCAGAAAAAUCUUCUAAAGCUCAGUAAUUCAAUAAAUAGAUUGUCGGCAACUGGAACAAGCUAAUAAUGAAAAGUUUUUGAACCUUUUCUACUUUUUAAGUUCUGUUUCAUUUUUUUUUAAUGUGGACAGGCAAAUAUAAAUUGCCUGUGUCCAUUCACAUUUAUUUUGUUUUGUUAUUUUGGUUUGCUAUGACUGGUUAGUUACAAAAAUAAAAGGCACUUUGUUGUACAACUCCAUACCUUAAGAACAGUGGCGGCUGGUGCGGGAACAGCCAGCAGGGUGGCGGGAAGCACCUUUAAGUGAACAUUAGUAGGUGCUUACCUCCCGUACCUCCUGAAAGCUCUUCUCAGCAGCAGCAUGCCACCCAUCACCUGCUGCUGGCCUUCACACAUGUGCAGAGGCCAUUUGCUGGCCAGACAAAUGGCCUCCACCAGCUGAGUGGUGGAGCUGAUCCAUCGCCGCAGUGAGUGCUGGGUGGCACACUGUUGCUGAGAAGAGCUUUCAGAUGUGGUGGUACGGGAGGUAAGUACCUACUAAUUUAAAGGUGCCUCCCGCCACUACCCCUGGCGACGCCCACAUCAGCUGCCACUCCUCCAGAAUUUUUCACAGAUCUUCCUCUCCUAAUGCAAUUCCACCUGAUGGGGAGCUUGUAAUCAGCUUUCCUCAUGAGAAGAAGUAUUCCACAAGAGUUGACAACAGAGUUGGUGUCAAUUCCUGGUGACCACAAAGCCAUGUGGUUGUCUUUGGUAGAAUACAGGAGGGGUUUACUAUCGCCAUCUCCCACACAGUAUGAGAUUAUGCCUUUCAGUACCUUCCCAUAUCGCUGCUGCCCAAUAUAGGUGUCUCCCAUAGUCUGGGAAACAUACCAGCAGGGAUUCACACCAGCAACCUCUUGCUCCCUAGGCAAGUUACUUCCCUGCUGCACCUUAAUUUGAUAAAUGUUGUCCCUUCCCCCCUGACCAUACAACAGAAGAUUCUAUUUUGAGUAUUUGCUGCUGUAGGGAAGUGUGUAUUAAACUCUGGCUAAGUAGGCACUAAUGCUGACACGGAGUCAUCUGCCUUCCAGUCCUCUCUGGGAAACUGAGUUCUAUAGAGAUCAGAGAAAAUGGCUACAGAGUUCCAGGACCCUUAAACUUACAUAUCGUUUAAGAACAUAAGUAGUUAUUCAAAUGUAGUCAUGCUUGUUUUAGCCAGAGGAGGUACUUCUCAUGUACUUUUGUGCAAAUUAUCAUUGGGUAUUCUUAAUAAAAACAAAUUUCUAAUACUGAAAUUGCUGGCCACCACUUUAAACAGCAGCGAAGUCACACAGAUAGGAAACCAAACCAUGCCAAUAUUAAAUCUUUGAAAAAAUAUCUCAUCUAUUGUAUAUUUUGAAGACUUUGUGUAAAAUAAGGUGAUACUUCCCAAUUACCUAAGGUAAAAUGUGCCAUCAAGCUAAUUUUGACUCCUGGCGGCCACAGAGCCCUGUGGUUUUCUUUGGUAGAAUACAGGAGGGGUUUACCAUUGCCUCCUCCCAUGCAGUAUGAGAAGAUGCCUUUCAGCAUCUUCCUAUAUCACUGCUGCCCGAUAUAGUACCAGUGGGGAUCGAACUGGCAACCUUCUGCUUGCUAGUCAAGCAUUUCACCACUGCUCCACUUACGGUGGGGUCCAAAUUACCUACAGAUACCAAAUUAUGCAUAUACAAUACUACCACUUAAAUGCGCUACUUUUACACUAGGAUAUACUGGGUGAAAGCUUUAUUUGUUUGUUUGUAUUUUUGAGCAGAAAUGCUGAAUAUAAUGAUUAUAUUUUAACUGUUAUUGUUCUCGACAGAUUUUUAACUCUAAAUACCCAUAUCAAUAAUUCAAAAAUUACAUCAUGCCCAAGAGAAGAAAAUCCUUCUAGAUUCAAAUUUAUUGUGAUUCAAAUUUACAAUGUAUGGUAAUUAUUUAAUAAAAUGAAUAAUGUUUGGAGUUGAAAUCCUAUGAAUGUCAAACUGUCCUUUUACUUCCUUUUUGCAAGCACAAUAAAAUUCUAUGACAGAUAUUUAAUUUCUUGAAAUUUCAUGGCAGUGUAAUCUACACAAAAUGACUUUGCCCGGUCAAUAACGGACCUCACCUACUAGUAUUCUCUAUUUUUUAUAUUCGCAUCAAAUAUUCGAUGCAAGUGAACAAAUUACCACAAAACCCAUGCUGCUUGCCCAACUUCCUUAUGGUUUUGAUGCUGUUCAUCAUCGAGGACCUUUCUUAAUUCUCUAAUCUGUGGUUAAUCUAUUCCAUAGCCCAAUCCUAGGCAAAUUUACUCAGAAGUAAGACUUGUGCUUGGUAGCCAUUAACUGCAGUGUUUGAACCAAGACUGUAUUAUAUUUGCCUUGAUCUUUUAGCAUGCAUGAAAUUAUAGAUGUAUUAAUAGUUUUCAAGUGUACCUUUUCUGUAUACAUCACACUUUCAGUAACUAUUGGCUCAAAUAUGUGAAGCAAUGUUGUAGUUUUGUGUAGGAUUACUUCACAAAUAUGUGAAGAAAUGUUGUAUUCCCAAAUUAUUGGUAGGAAUAGGUAAACAGUAAAGGACCAAU